ensembl:lncRNA
GUAUAAUUUUUUUUUAUUAGUUAUGAGAAAGACAUAUCAACGUCCACACCAUCGAAAAGUGGAUUUACAAUGGCACCACCACCUGUAUCCACUAUUGUCUCGGAGUCGCUUUCUGACCGAGAUGAUGACUUCUCAGUCCCUGGAGUUGAAGAGUUGGAUAGUAGCAGCGUACAGGAUAAAAACAUUCAGGAAUUAGAUGCAAGGACAUGUGGGUGGGAGUCCUGCACCAUGUCACAGGAGAACACACGUGGGCUCUUGGUGAGUGUAAACAUGGCCCCUUGCUGGACGACAGAGAUAAAGAAUUGAUUGAGAGUGGUUCAGUGGCACAUGAGAGGCUGGCUGAAAUUAUUCUCGAUGAACGCUGGCUGAAGGUCGUCCCCAAGUAUCUGAAUUUCAGGUCAACUGCAGAUUUGGAGUCGUUUCACAACCACAUACUGAUGUAUGCCAGCAAGCGCUUCAGCUUUUCCCCACCAGUUUAUGCUGCUCGUACCAUGCUGGCUGGCCUCGAUUACAACCAUCUUCUCCAUAGACCAGCCAGGAGAAAAGCUGAUGGCACAAUUCAGUAUGGCAAGGUGUACAACAAAAAGUCCAGGAAGUGGAGGUUAUACUCAUUGAAGGUGGAGAAGGACUACAGCUACAUCUCUGACCUACAGCGUGCCAUCCUCCUUCGACGGAUAUCAGCUAAUAAGGGGAUUCCUAGAAGCAGAACCAGGAUACCUGAUGAUCCCCGUCAACAUGGCGUACUGUCUGGUGCACCUGCUCCAUCAACACAGGAGCUAUUGCAAAUUCAAGUCAGCAGAGGGUUAGGUCAAUCGCUGCCGAAACAAUGAAUAAUCUCCACAGGACCAUAGCUGAUGUGAUGCUACGUCCCAAGUCUGACCCAUCUACCAGUCAAGAUACCUCUGGAAACCCAAUGUCUUAUAUGUGUUAUUGUUGAUUGUGCUAAUGUUUUUUAUAUUUGUGAUUAUAGUUUCUAGUAAUACAGAAAUAAAAAAGUGACAUUCUACA